rnacentral:rRNA from 1 species
CCUACGGGUGGCAGCAGUGGGGAAUAUUGGACAAUGGGGGGAACCCUGAUCCAGCCAUGCCGCGUGUGUGAAGAAGGCCCUCGGGUUGUAAAGCACUUUCAGUGAGGAAGAACGCCUGGUGGUUAAUACCCAUCAGGAAAGACAUCACUCACAGAAGAAGCACCGGCUAACUCCGUGCCAGCAGCCGCGGUAAUACGGAGGGUGCGAGCGUUAAUCGGAAUUACUGGGCGUAAAGCGCGCGUAGGUGGCUUGAUAAGCCGGUUGUGAAAGCCCCGGGCUCAACCUGGGAACGGCAUCCGGAACUGUCAAGCUAGAGUGCAGGAGAGGAAGGUAGAAUUCCCGGUGUAGCGGUGAAAUGCGUAGAGAUCGGGAGGAAUACCAGUGGCGAAGGCGGCUUUCUGGACUGACACUGACACUGAGGUGCGAAAGCGUGGGUAGCAAACAGGAUUAGAUACCCGAGUAGUC